GAAAGAACAAAAAAGAAGAGAGGAAAGGGGCUUUAGAUGACAAAUUGUCUAUUUGAAUAAAUAAACGCCAUGGGAGCUUAGCUUAGUUGAACAAACGAUGUUGGCCACGUACCUUAUACUAUGCAUACUUAUCUCCCUUGUAUUGGGCGAAAUACUUGUAUACUUGGGGAUUUGUUUCAACACCCAAUUUCAAGAACCAAUUCUUCUGGCUUUGUCUCGC
rnacentral:misc_RNA from 1 species